rnacentral:rRNA from 1 species
AGUGAACGCUGGCGGUAGGCCUAACACAUGCAAGUCGAACGGCAGCACAGUAAGAGCUUGCUCUUACGGGUGGCGAGUGGCGGACGGGUGAGGAAUACAUCGGAAUCUACUUUUUCGUGGGGGAUAACGUAGGGAAACUUACGCUAAUACCGCAUACGACCUACGGGUGAAAGCAGGGGAUCUUCGGACCUUGCGCGAUUGAAUGAGCCGAUGUCGGAUUAGCUAGUUGGCGGGGUAAAGGCCCACCAAGGCGACGAUCCGUAGCUGGUCUGAGAGGAUGACAACCCCACUGGGACAGGAGAAAGGGCCCAGCCCCCCACGGGAGGCAGCAGGGGGGAAAUUUGGAAAAUGGGGGCAAGCCUGACCCAGCCAUACCGGGGGGGUGAAGAAGGCCUUCGGGUUGUAAAGCCUUUUUGUUGGGAAAAAAAAGCAGCAGGUUAAAACCCCGCUGUUCUGCGGGUACCAAAAAAAUAAGCACCGGCAACUUUCGU